ACUCACCAGAGUGGCUCAUUGUUAAGACAAAGGGUGUGCACUUCCCGGCCAGGAAACCUGAGCGGUGAGACUCCCAGCUGCCUACAUCAAGGCCCCAGGACAUGCAGAACCUUCCUCUAGAACCCGACCCACCACCAUGAGGUCCUGCCUGUGGAGAUGCAGGCACCUGAGCCAAGGCGUCCAGUGGUCCUUGCUCCUGGCUGUCCUGGUCUUCUUUCUCUUCGCCUUGCCCUCCUUUAUUAAGGAGCCUCAAACAAAACCUUCCAGGCAUCAACGCACAGAGAACAUUAAAGAAAGGUCUCCACAGUCGCUGGCAAAGCCUAAGUUCCAGGCACCCACAAGAGCAAGGAGGACAACCAUCUAUGCAGAGCCAGCGCCAGAGAACAAUGCCCUCAACAUACAAACCCAGCCCGAGGCCCACACCGCCGGAGACAGAGGAAAGGAGGCCAACCAGGCACCGCCGGAGGAACAGGACAAAGCGCCCGACACAGCACAGAGGGCAGCAUGGAAGAGCCCAGAAAAAGAGAAAAUCACGGUGAACACACUAUCACCCAGAGGGCAAGACGCAGGGAUAGCCUCUGGCAGGACAGAGGCACAAUCAUGGAAGAGCCAGGACACAAAGACGACCCAAGGAAAUGGGGGCCAGACCAGGAAGCUGACGGCCUCUAGGACAGUGUCGGUGAAGCACCAGGGCAAAGCGGCGACCACAGCCAAGAUGCUCAUUCCCAAAAGUCAGCACACAAUGCUGGCUCCCACAGGAGCAGUGUCAACAAGGAUGAGACAGAAAGGAGUGACCACAGCAGUCAUCCCACCCAAGGAGAAGAAACCUCAGGCCACCCCACCCCCUGCCCCUUUCCAGAGCCCCACGAUGCAGAGAAACCAAAGACUGAAGGCCGCCAACUUCAAGUCUGAGCCUCGGUGGGAUUUUGAGGAAAAAUACAGCUUCGAAAUAGGGGGCCUUCAGACGACUUGCCCUGACUCUGUGAAGAUCAAAGCCUCCAAGUCGCUGUGGCUCCAGAAACUCUUUCUGCCCAACCUCACUCUGUUCCUGGACUCCAGACACUUCAACCAGAGCGAGUGGGACCGCCUGGAACACUUUGCACCACCCUUUGGCUUCAUGGAGCUCAACUACUCCUGGCUCUGAAUGGAGCACCCCCACUCUUGUUCCAGUGGUGCAGAAGGUCGUGACACGCUUCCCUCCAGUGCCCCAGCAGCAGCUGCUCCUGGCCAGCCUCCCCGCUGGGAGCCUCCGGUGCAUCACCUGUGCUGUGGUGGGCAACGGGGGCAUCCUGAACAACUCCCACAUGGGCA
rnacentral:sRNA from 1 species